rnacentral:rRNA from 1 species
UGGGGAAUAUUGCACAAUGGAGGGAACUCUGAUGCAGCAACGCCGCGUGCGGGAUGACGGCCUUCGGGUUGUAAACCGCUUUCAGCCAUGACGAAGCUUUUGUGACGGUAGUGGUAGAAGAAGCACCGGCUAACUACGUGCCAGCAGCCGCGGUGAUACGUAGGGUGCGAGCGUUGUCCGGAAUUAUUGGGCGUAAAGAGCUUGUAGGCGGUUUGUCGCGUCGAUAGUGUAAACACGCAGCUUAACUGUGUGCCUGCUGUCGAUACGGGCUGACUAGAGGAGGGUAGGGGAGAAUGGAAUUCCCGGUGGGGCGGUGGAAUGCGCAGAUAUCGGGAGGAACACCAGUGGCGAAGGCGGUUCUCUGGACCUUUCCUGACGCUGAGAAGCGAAAGCGUGGGUAGCAAACAGG